rnacentral:rRNA from 1 species
UGAGCAAUCUGCCCUUCACAUCGGAAUAACCAUUGGAAACGAUGGCUAAUACCGAAUAUGACUUCGGAUCGCAUGAUCUGAAGUGGAAAGCUCCGGCGGUGAAGGAUGAGCUCGCGGCCUAUCAGCUUGUUGGUGAGGUAAUAGCUCACCAAGGCGAUGACGGGUAGCCGGCCUGAGAGGUGACCGGCCACACUGGGACUGAGACACCGGCA